rnacentral:tRNA from 1 species
GGGCCGGUAGAUCAGCCUGGUAGAUCGUUCGGUUCGCAUCCGAAAGGUCGUGAGUUCGAAUCUCGCCCGGUCCACCA